UAGUUGUAAAGAGUCUACUCUCCAAAGUCAAACAAACCUGGGUUUGACUCUAUUUAAAGUUUGAGUUUCCCUGAAUCUGGAGACUAAUUUUCAGCUGUCUUAUCCUGACAGCUACUUUCCUGACCGAUGGCAGGCCCAGAACUCUUCAAUCAAGGCUCUAGCUCACCUGAUCAACAUGUUGCAUACAAAAGCAGGAAGAAAGGAGAAGUUGAAUCUGAACUGGUCUAUCCUCAGAAAUAAUCAGAAGAAAAAUAUUUUCUGGAACAACCUCCCUCCCCCAGCCCCAACAGACUUCCCUCAUGUUUCCCUGGCCAGAACUGAGUCGCAUGCCAACCUCUACAUUAAUCACUGUCAAAGAGAAGGUUUCUCAUCUUUUAAAAUUUUCCAUGGAGACAAUAUCAGCAAUAUGACUGAGACAUCUCUCAUCGUGUGCCCCCCUCAACAUCAACAAUUUUGCAUUGAUCCAUGGACAAAAGUGCCUUUGUGGAAGCCGUGGGAUCCAGCACCAUACACUAAGGGACCUGGACUGAGUCCCACCCACCUGUGCAUUGAGUAAUUGGCAAACAGACCUCAGUCCUGGCUGUGGACCCUGUAGUGUCCCAUGACACAGCUCUAGCCACUCUUGGUCUCUGUCCAGGAACCCCUGGAGAAUACUAUCUUUUAGACAAUCUCCUAGAGACAAGAGAACCUUCAUGGGAGUCCAGGUUUCCAUCAUAGAAGUUCCAACACACUGUUGGAACAAAAAGCAAUACAAGUUUGGGCCCAUUGGAGAGGGUAAGAAGACCAGUUUGACUUUAGCCACAUCACCCCUACCCCAAGAUGAUACAGCUAAGUGCCAAGCAAGAUCUUCUAGGCCCAUGAUUGCUCCUGCUUGGGAAGGUGAGAGUGUGAGUGAGCACCUGUAUGGGACAUUGCCAAAGAGGUCUAUUUCUGCCUCACCCCAUCCAGAGUAAUGAGUCAUUAGCUGUGCAACUGAGGGCUGGGAAGAGGCUGAGCCAGCAGCAGAUAGGACUCUUGGAGGGCAUUAUAGCACAUGGAUCCCACCAACUGCGUUUUGGAUUCUGUCAAGAAGCCUGCCUCCAUCAAGAGAGUACAAUGGUGCUUUCCAGAGGCUGGAGGGGGUGGUGUGGGGGAAAUGGGGAGAUGUU
rnacentral:lncRNA from 1 species